CCUACGGGUGGCAGCAGUGAGGAAUAUUGGUCAAUGGGCGCAAGCCUGAACCAGCCAAGUCGCGUGAGGGAUGACGGUCCUAUGGAUUGUAAACCUCUUUUGUCGUGGAGCAAGGCCCGCCACGUGUGGCGGGAAGGAGAGUACCCGAAGAAAAAGCAUCGGCUAACUCCGUGCCAGCAGCCGCGGUCAUACGGAGGAUGCGAGCGUUAUCCGGAUUUAUUGGGUUUAAAGGGUGCGUAGGCGGAAGGUUAAGUCAGCGGUCAAAUGUCGGUGCUCAACACCGGCCUGCCGUUGAAACUGGUCUUCUUGAGUGAGCGAGAAGUAUGCGGAAUGCGUGGUGUAGCGGUGAAAUGCUUAGAUAUCACGAAGAACCACGAUUGCGAAGGCAGCUUACUAAACUGUGACUGACAUUGAUGCUCGAAAGUGUGGGUAUCAAACAGGAUUAGAUACCCUGGUAGUC
rnacentral:rRNA from 1 species